UGACGAGGAGAAGCUGAUCAGGAGAUUUAUACAUGUGUGUCUGCCUUGGGAUGUUAUUCAAGGAAGAUGAGCCUGAGCUUCUUUGGAGAAGACCCAGCCCGAGACAGAAGAGCAGCAGUUGGAGUAGAAUGGAGACAGAGACAUGGACUGCUACUGAUCAAUGGCUACUUGAAGAAUGAAAAGUGGGAAAAAACUACUGAAAUGAGAGACGUUCUACUCUGGACCAAAAUGAAAGAAGUUAAACACCAACUCUCCAAGAAGACUUGAAAUUGCAGAGGAGCAGUAUAUACCUACAAGCAGGUUGAAUGUGAGUAACCCUGAGGUUGGUCCAACAACAAACUCCAUGUGGCAUUUUUCUUCUCAGGUUCUAGUUCACAUAUAAGAAAAAAACUCAAGAAAAAGAAUGAACCCUUCUAAAAGUUGGAUUUCUUGAAAGCAGAAUAGCUUUAGUUUGCUGUAACUUGAAAACCUGUUUAAAUUAAAUUAAAUCUUUUUUCU